AUGUUAUGUUGUAAUUACUGUGUUUACGAAUUUAGCACCAAAAUAUCACGAUAUAUUGAAAACAUUGACUACAAAAAUGGCUUGGAUAAGCAAGUGAGACUCUACUGUGUGUGUGUAUAUAUAUAUGUGUGUGUGUGUGUGUGUGUGUGUCUAUGUAUAUAUAUAUACGUUUUUUUGUUUUGUUUUUUCGUGUCAGGAGCAACUGGAGUUGCUUCUGGAGUAAGAGAAUUGGCCAUCUGCAAGGAUGUUGCCCAGGGGAUGCCCAGAUGUUUUGAUGUUUUACCAUCCUUGUGGGAGGCUUCUCUCAUGUCCCCGCAUGGAGCUGGAGCUGAUAGAGGGAGCUCAUCCGCACUCUCCCCGGGUGGGAUUCGAACCUGGCAGCUUUCAGGUCAGCAACCCAACCUUCAAGUCACAAGGCUUUUAUCCCCUAGGCCACCGGAGGCUCUAUAUAUACAUGUAUGUGUGUGUUAAGGAUCAAAGAAACCCAAAAGAAAGUAAUCUCUAAAUGGUACAGAACCCCCCUCCAAUUAGCACACAUAAAGGGAAAUACCUCAAACAUGUGUUGGCACAAAUGUGGGGGAAUAGGUUCAUUCUCUCACAUGUGGUGGGACUGUAGUAAAAUUCAGAACUUUUAUAGUAAAAUAAGAAAAGUAGUGGAAGAAAUAAUAGGGAAUGAAUUAAUAUGGGAUAAAGCCAGAUACAUGUUUCUAGGAUCCACAGAUUGAAGCUGACUUGACAACAAUUAACAACAAAAAUUAACCAAAAAAAUUUGUCAUGGUUCAAUGCUAUAGAAUCAGGGGAAGAGUAGUUUUUCAAGGUCUUCUGCAUUAAUUCUACAGUGUUGAUGCACCCAGAACUGGUAUAUAAUAAGCAUUCUAUGCACACUACUAAAAUCAUAAUUGAAAUCUCUUAGAUUUUUCUUGUUAUGUGCCUUCAUGUCAGUUCCAACUUUUAGCAAUGCUACCCUAGGAUGUUCCCAGCAAAAUUUAUUUGGAGGGGGUUUGCCAUUGUUUUACUCUUAAGGCUGACAGAGAGUGACCUGUCCAGUGUUGUUGAGUGGAUUUCCAUCUCUGAAAGGGGAUUUGAACUUUAGUCUCACAGAGAGCUAGCCCAACUCUUAGACGACUACAUUACACUGGCUCCAAGCUACUCAGCUCCUACCACCUAGGAACAUAACAGGGCAAACGUGUAAUCUGGGCAAACAGGAACAUCUGGAUCAGGCACCUCACUCAAACAGGUAAGAGCAGUCCCUAUGGAAAUGGAUAUCCAGAAUCUGGGUGUGCUCAACGUCUACUAUACUGUUACCUUUAUACCACACCCAGCAGCUUGUUUUCUUGCUUGAAGCAAGAUUCCUGAUGCCAGGCAGUUACACUUCCUCUUAAACUGCCACACGUUCCUUCCAUUCCCAUAGACAAUAUGUUCUGAGAAGUCCUCUAAAGAUCUUGUAUUGUACUUGGCUUAGUCUCAUAUAGCUUAACAAGGGACAAAGGCUGAGCUCUGACCCACUAUUUUGUCAUUUUGAGGGCAGUAUUCUGUGUUCAAGAAGAUGGUUUGGUGCUGUCUUUUUCCAUUGCUGCUAGAUGGUUAUCAAUUUGUCAGUGCCUACUCAUGUUGAUUUUACCUGCAUUCCUGACUUUUAUAUUUUAUUCAUCUAUACAGAAUAAAACUCAGGAUGGACACCACCUUUCUUAUUAGAAUGUUUUAUGUAUAAGAAAAGCCCAUUGCUCUCCUGCUAUGGAUUGGACAGUUAUUUGAUUAUGAGUUCAGUGCAAUGAAAAAUUUUAAAAUCCUAGAAGAUGAAUGAGAAGGUAUAGGCAAAAGGAGAGGAAAUAACUUUCUGACACUAAAGAUGAUUUCCCCAAAAUAAAAUAAAAAACACAGAAAGGAUAUCUAUAGCCUAAGGCUACCAGGGUCUAGAGAGAAAACAUAACAUCACAGGAAAGAUGGCAGUGCAAAAAAGGACCAAAAAGCUGGUUACAGUGCCCCAGGUUGUAAGUGAAUAGAUGCAUGCUUAAGGCAAAUCCUAGUUUUAGUAUAGAAUUUAUCGCUGCUUGAACUCAAUGCAACAUGUGGAUUAGACAAAUUAGACUGUUAUGUUUUAUCCUAGGGCCUUGAUUCACGUCAAAGUAAGAAACUAUACAUAAAUCUUCUACAAAUGUAACUUCGCCUGCUGAACAGCUCUAAGAAUACAAUGCAGUGUUGAGCACUGGAUGUUUAAUUUCUGGGGAGCAUUUUGGGGCUAUAAGAAUUACAUUUAUAAUAAUAUGAAAAAGUGUUAUUGAGCUUAUACUUAAAUUAGAAUAUUGAUUGUCUUCCAUCAAGGUUAAGCGCUUUCCAGAUUUUGGGGUAUUUUGGAAAUUAAGAUUUGCUUCCUGAUCGAUCUCAUCUCUAAGAUAUCUCAUUAUGUGUAUAUAUGCAAAUCCAGAUAUUCCAAAAUCCAAAACAUUUUUGGUUCCAAGAGGGAUACGGGAUAUUAAAUCUGUAUUUUGGCACACAGUGUUUUUCAAUUGUUGGACAAUCCUUUUUUUAAAACCAGUGUUUACAUAUUCUUCAGCUUAAGUUUUCAUGUUAGCAACACUGCAUGAAUUUUUGCUUUCUGAGAAAUGGAAAGCCACAGAAAAACAUAGGACUUCAUCAAACAGAGGAAAAUGGGGAAAGUGAGGAAAAGUGGAGGGAACUGUCUUAACCCAUUCCCUCCCAUCUUUCCCUGUCUUCUGGGAUGGUCAGCAAUCUCAUGUAAUUACUACACCUUUCCCCGCCUUUCCCUCGCUUUCUCCUGCUUUUUAAUGCUUGGAGUCAAGUAACAUCUGACUCCUGAAGAUGGCACCUAGGCUCAGUUUCUAUGUGCUUAGGAAACAUAGCCCCUGGAGUCCCACCAGACAUGCUCUUGUGAUGGCCUUUGUGAGGCUCCCAUGAGGCUCUGCUUUCUAAGCACAUGGAAACAUAGCAGCUGUCUGAUGAAGUCCUUAGAACAGAUUUCAAGAUGCUCAAAAGAUAAGUCUUCUAUUAAGAAAACCUAU
rnacentral:lncRNA from 1 species